ACUUUUGAAGCAGGGAAUCUUUUUGGAGAAUUGCAAGAUGCUGCUAGCUGAUUUGCAAGAAGACAAAGAGGGAUGCUGCUCUUCUGGAAUGGAAGUCAAGUUUUUUCCUGUUGCCAUGGUCAUGAUGGAACUGUGGGGAGGCUUGCCCAGGAGCGAGAUGCUGGAGAAAGGUGAGGUCUCACCUGAUGGAUCCCCCGUGGGAGUUUGGCCUGAAAAAGAGAAAGAAGAGACUAAGCAGGGGAGUGUGUG